UGCCUUCCAGACGCGGGUUCAAGAAGGGGUCAUGCUGCCCUCGAGGGCACACUGCUGCGAUGCCUGUACUCACACCCUGAUGGUCGGUAUCAAUCCUGUCAUAUUUUACAUACAGUCAAUUCUCACUAUGCACAGGAGCUAUGUUCCAUAAAGUCACCGCCAACACUGAAUUAGUAAAUGCCGAACGGUCACUGCUAGGGAAAACCCAAGGCACAGCACAGCCUUCUUGUGCUCAGCACUUCAGCGCUACGCGUGGAGCCCAUUUUAAACGGUGACAUCAUCAACAAAAAUACAGCAAUCGUGGCACUAAAUAGAUUGCCGGAAGGACACCUGAUGACUGUCUGGGCUGAAACAGGAAGGCUGAGCUCUGCCUGGCUACUGUCUCCUGGGAGCAAACGCAGCCGCUCUGGGCGUGCCCGAAUCUGCAAAUGACCUCAGAGUGCCUCUACUAGGGACGGAGAGGUGACAAGUAAGUUUAGCAAGUAGGCAAAAAGAUUCCCAAAUAUGGAAUCUGAGAGUAAGGAUCAAUUAUGUGUAUGUGUAUAGAUGUUUGUGUUUAUUAUAUCUUUGUAGCCCAUCACUUGUUUCUGAGAUUUAUAUAUGGUGUGUUUUAUAUUUGACUCAGGAAGAUUUGCCAAGUUGUUUCUUUCAUAUAAAAAAAUAAAUUUUUCAUAUUUAAUUAGUCUGUUUCUGAACUCUCUAUUCCAGGACAAGUGACAUUUGGGGCCAACGACUCUUUGUUACAGGGUAUUGUCUUCUGAGGGGCAGGAGUUUUCCCAGCAUGCCUGUGCCUCUGCCAGUAGGUACCAGUGUCACCCCUCUCCUGACUGUGACAACAAAACUCCUCUUAGUGCCCAGGUACCCAGUGGUCUUCACCUGGUUGAGAGCCACUGCACUGCCCAAUUCUGUGCCCGUAUUUCACUGACAAAGCUUAUGUCCUUUUCAACUAUCCUGCAUCUGACUUCCUAGUAGGGUGAAUGAAGAAGACUCAGGCGGGUAGACAGUGCAGUAUGAGUUAGUGACGUGGUAUGGUCAUGUGGGGCGGAGGUGUAGGGGACAGUGAUGUCUCCAGAGGGAAAUUUGAUUCCCCCCACCUCCAACUCCUCAAAUGCCCUAUUACAGCAUCCCAGAGGAAAAUAAACAAUGAACAUAAACCUGAGCUCUGCUAACAAGAGCGCAUCCUGUGCCUGACCAGCAAGUCUCUCUUCUUUGUUUUCCAAAAUUGCCAUGUUCACUCUGAUACCUGUGUACUUUAGAUUAAUCUUAGA